UGCCCCUCAGGAAAGGCUCGCUUGGUGCCAGAGGAAUGGGAAGGAGUCGCUGUCCCCUCACCUUUGUGCAGGUCUGUGACCUCCCAGCCGCAGCAGUGCCGUGUCAGCGCAGGAAGAAGGGAAAGAUCCGCAGGUCUGUGAACCUGAGAGAGGAGAGGGAAGGCUGCCAAUCUCGGUAGAAGGGAGGAUGCAGAGAGAAGGCAGAGGACGAGGGACAGCAGCAGCAGUGAGGGCACACAUCUUCCAUGAAGCUCAUAGUUUUUGUUUGAGGGCAUUGUUGCUGUUUCUGUAAGGAAGAAACCCUGAGCCCUGUAACUGGACUUUACUGCCAUUCACAACUACUGAAAACCAGCUGUCAUUAAUUUUACAAUGCCCAUGGAGGUUUAAGGUAAAGGGACAUCUUU